rnacentral:lncRNA from 10 species
UAAGAUUAUCCAGUCAGAGCAGGAGACUAUUAUCCAAUAAGAGUUGUCAAAAAAAGUUCCUUCUCACCCAAUCAGAACCAAGCUUCCAAGAUACAGCGGUUGAGUACAGCCACUGUAAAAGGGAGGCGAAGGCCCAUUCUGCCAUUUUCUCUUCGUGGAGGUUGGGCUCGCGUGCUGCUCUGCGCUGUGGUCGUCAUGGACCGGAAGCGUGUGCGGCGCGCCUGCCUUGAGGCCAGCAGCAGGGAAGGGUGUUCCCAGGUGCAGAGGAAGUGUCCUUCACGUGUUCCUGGAGGACUUUCGGUUAGCAAGCACUUCUCCAUUCUCCCAACGUCUCGGGCCUGGACCUGGACCAGAUCGCCUGUGGAUACUGAGGGACAACUGUGCUUCUUUCUCACUCCAGCUCAGCGACUCACAGAUGUCCCCAGGGAGAAGUACAGAAGCUGAGAGUCUGGACGAGGCCCCAGGCUGCCUG